GCCCCAGUAAACGGCGGCCGUAACUAUAACGGUCCUAAGGUAGCGAAAUUCCUUGUCGGGUAAGUUCCGACCUGCACGAAUGGUGUAACGAAUUGAGCACUGUCUCGACCUGGAGCACAGCGAAAUUGAAGUGUCGGUGAAGAUACCGGCUACCCGCGGCAGGACGAAAAGACCCCGUGAACCUUUACUACAACUUAGCAUUGGAUUCUGGUUCUGCAUGUGCAGGAUAGGUGGGAGGCUGUGAAACUCGGACGCUAGUCCGGGUGGAGCCAACCUUGAAAUACCACCCUUGUAUUGCUAGAACUCUAAUCCCGACCCGUGAAUCCGGGCGAGAGACAGUGUUAGGUGGGUAGUUUGACUGGGGCGGUCUCCUCCCAAAAGGUAACGGAGGAGCUCAAAGGUUCCCUCAGCACGGUCGGUAAUCGUGCGUAGAGUGCAAAGGCAUAAGGGAGCUUGACUGCGAGGUCGACGGACCGAGCAGGUGCGAAAGCAGGACUUAGUGAUCUGGUGGUUCCGUAUGGAAGGGCCAUCACUCAACGGAUAAAAGGUACUCCGGGGAUAACAGGCUUAUCUCCCCCAAGAGUUCACAUCGACGGGGAGGUUUGGCACCUCGAUGUCGGCUCAUCACAUCCUGGAGCUGGAGAAGGUUCCAAGGGUUGGGCUGUUCGCCCAUUAAAGUGGUACGUGAGCUGGGUUUAGAACGUCGUGAGACAGUUCGGUCUCUAUCCGCCGUGGGCGCAAGAUAUUUGAGGGAAUCUGCUUCUAGUACGAGAGGACCGAAGUGGACGAACCUCUGGUGUACCAGUUGUUCCAUCAGGAGCACGGCUGGGUAGCUAUGUUCGGUCCGGAUAAGCGCUGAAAGCAUAUAAGCGCGAAACCGAUCCCAAGAUAAGAUAUCUCUAACAUAAGUUAAUAAGGCUCGUUGUAGACUACGACGUUGAUAGGCUGCAGGUGUAAGGCUAGUAAUAGUUUUAGCUGAGCAGUACUAAUAAGCCGAACGGCUUUACCAAAC
rnacentral:rRNA from 1 species